rnacentral:rRNA from 1 species
GCCAUGCCGCGUGCAGGAUGACGGUCCUAUGGAUUGUAAACUGCUUUUGCACAGGAAGAAACACUCCGACGUGUCGGAGCUUGACGGUACUGUGAGAAUAAGGAUCGGCUAACUCCGUGCCAGCAGCCGCGGUAAUACGGAGGAUCCGAGCGUUAUCCGGAAUCAUUGGGUUUAAAGGGUCCGUAGGCGGUCUUGUAAGUCAGUGGUGAAAGCCCAUCGCUCAACGGUGGAACGGCCAUUGAUACUGCAGGACUUGAAUUAUUGGGAAGUAACUAAAAUAUGUAGUGUAGCGGUGAAAUGCUUAUAGAUUACGUGGAAUACCGAUUGCGAAGGCAGGUUACUACCAAUUUAUUGACGCUGAUGGACGAAAGCGUGGGUAGCGAACAGGAUUACAUACCCUGGUAGUCCACGCCGUAGACGAUGGAUACUAGCUGUUGGGAGCAAUCUCAGUGGCUAAGCGAAAGUGAUAAGUAACCCACCUGGGGAGUACGAACGCAAGUUUGAAACUCACAGGAAUUGACGGGGGCCCGCACAAGCGGUGGAGCAUGUGGUUUAAUUCGAUGAUACGCGAGGAACCUUACCAAGGCUUAAAUGCAAACUGACCGAUUUGGAAACAGAUCUUUCGCA